rnacentral:lncRNA from 1 species
CUAUAGCCCCAGUCCCGAGUCUCAUAUUUUUGUGGGACUCUCAUGAGUAAGUAGUCCAUUAAAAUUGUUUUUUUUCCUGUUAAUCUGUCUUACAUUAAUUUAAUUCUGGGGCCAGCCACUGAACCUACUAGGGUAGAAGACAACGAUUUUUUUUUUUUUUUUGCCCUAAAAAAGAAAAAGUGUAACAACUAGAUUGAACUAGAUUUAUUUGUGGAUGACUAAUGAUUUUAGUCAUAGAAAAUGUAGAAUCACAAUUAGAAUUAAUAAAUUCAGCAGUCAAUGUACAGGUCAAGUUCAAUGUAUAGGUCAAUUGUAUUUCCAUAUGUCAAUAACAAAAAACAAUUUGAAAAUGAAAAAAUUUAAACACCAUUUAGAGCAUCAAAAACAUAUACUCAAAUAUAAAUCUAGGGCUGCAUUUGUGGCUCAGUGGUAGAGCACUCGUUUACCAUGAGUGAGGCACUAGGUUUGAUCCUGAGCACCACCUAAAGAUAGAUAAAUAAAGGUAUUGUGUCCAUCUACAACUAAAAAAUAUUUUAAAAAAUAUAUAAAUCUAUGAAAAAUUUACUCAACUUCUAUGCUGCAACUUGCAAAAUAAUUCUGAGAGAAAUUAAAGAAGACCUAAGUGAAUAGAAAGAUAUUCCAACUAAAAGAAAGAAUAAAGGGAUCUAUGUGGUAGUAAGUAAGGUAUCUGUUAAACCAUAACUCUUAAGACCAAAGGAUCUAGGAAAUAAAAGGGUUUCUUGACCCUUUACAGCCACUAGCCAAUAAAAGUCAUCUUGGAACAAGUUUCUGCAAAUGACCAGCAGCAAGGCUAAACAGCAGCUGGCAAAGUGUCCACUGGACCAGAAUUGGAGAGGGCAAGUAUAAUUUGUUUACUGAAUCUACACUUGUUAUAGAUAAGAAGGGCAGGAUGCCAGGGAGCAGGGAAAGCUUUGGAAUAGGAGGGCAGUCCCACAGAAGCACUAUAGAUUCUGGACUAGUUGGGUUAACAGUGUGGAAAGUUUACAUGUAAACAGGGUGUAGGGGCCCUGGUGGUCACCC